UACGCCAAAAUUUUAAUUUGUCCAAAUUUUAGUAAAUUUUCUUAGGAGUAUUCAUCAUGGAUUUGGAUUGGUUGAUUACCUUUGUUUUAGGUUGUAUUCUUGGCUAUUAUGUUGGCCAAAACUCAUAGGUCAACAACCAAUUUAAACAAGAAAAGCGUAAAAUGAAGAUAUACAGUCUAAGAGUCGAUUAUGUAGACACACCUCACAUUUGUAAAUUGAUGGAACUGUAAGUUGACAACGACUAAUCGGACUAAUUGCAAAUACAGCCAUGAGUCACGUUAUAUCAUAUGCAUUGGGACUUCUCACGGGUUUGAUGUUAUGUAAACGGCGUUGCGGUCCACCAUGAAACUGAUGACAUAGAUACAUUUCAAAUUUGAUAUAAUACAAUUUUAUUCCAAAUUAUGGAGAAGAUAAAACUGUAGAUAGCAAAGAAAAUUAUAAUAAAGUAAUUAUUCUUAACA